UAGGGAAUAUUGCUUAAUGGGCGAAAGCCUGAAGCAGCAACGCCGCGUGCACGAUGAAGGUCUUCGGAUCGUAAAGUGCUUUUUUAGAGGAUGAGGAAGGACAGUACUCUAAGAAUAAGCCUCGGCUAACUACGUGCCAGCAGCCGCGGUAAAACGUAGGAGGCGAGCGUUAUCCGGAUUUACUGGGCGUAAAGCGUGUGCCGGUGGUUUGGUAAGUUGGAUGUGAAAGCUCCUGGCUUAACUGGGAGAGGUCGUUCAAUACUGCCAGACUUGAGAGUGAGAGAGGGAGGUGGAAUUCCGGGUGUAGUGGUGAAAUGCGUAGAUAUCCGGAGGAACACCAGUGGCGAAAGCGGCCCCCUGGUUCAUUUCUGACACUCAUACACGAAAGCUAGGGUAGCAAACGG
rnacentral:rRNA from 1 species